CUCUCUCUCUCGCUCUCUCUCUUUUGUGGGUUAUGUAAUUUCUACGUUUAUCUUCUUUUCAUGGAUAUAAAUGAUUAAUUUUGAUUCCAUCUGCAGAAGUUAUUAGGGACUAUCAAGAAGUACGCAUGGGUCCCAAAGAAGUGACCAUUUAAAGUACUCCUGGAUUUUUAUUUCUAUGUUUGGCUCGUAAUAUCUAAUCUAGACUCUAGAUACAAUGCAACAUCUUACCUCCCCUGAAAAUUGAGAAGGUGGCGGUUUUGUGUGGAGUUAUGCUAUUGAAUGAUGAAGAAGGCUAGACUAUGGAGAUAUGCAACCAUAUGUUACCUUCCAACAUGAUUGAAUGCUUUUUGCCCAUUGCGAGACACAUGAACUUCACUCAUCACAAAAAAGUUAGGCAUCUUAUGAUCCUACCUUCAAAUUCAACAGAUUUAAGAUGGUAGAUUUUUGAAGUUAUAUAUAAUCUGUAUGUUUAUAAUUGUAAAGGUUUUUUGUUUUGAAGUUUGUAAUUGAGAGAAGAUACUACGGUGGCCCAUUCUCUUGCUAAAGCAGCCAUUGGGAUAGCGCCCCCAGGCUCCUCGUGUACCGUUCUUCUUUUGAAUGUUCUCUUCCAUGUUUUUUUUAACUUGACAUAUUACAUUCUGGGUUGGGUAUAAAUGGCAAGUCUAACGGCCUGAGUUUAGCCAGAUCUCAUUUGUUAAACUUUCCUGAUUAUAUU
rnacentral:misc_RNA from 1 species